rnacentral:rRNA from 1 species
UUUCGGGUCCAAACAGGCACACUCAAUCUCAGCGACCGCGGUCGCCGGACGGUGUUGGGCAUUCGUGUUGUGUGCACACCAUACGCUCUUGCGAGCUCCCUUUCAGUACGAGAGAAGUACUGGCAACGAAUAUCUUCUCCCUUGCGCGUCUGUUUGACUCCUUGGUCCGUGUUUCAAGACGGGUGAAGAUACCCCAUUUUCGACGUCAACAUUGAGCAUCACUGGAAAGAUACAACUCUCGCUACCCCGUCAGUAUAGGUCGACGAGGCAGUGAGCCGCACUUUAUUCCAGCUCAUUUCGCCAAUCUCCCGUGUCUGCACUUGAGUUUGCCCAACGAGUUUUAAGGUUCGCCGAGAUAAUGCUUCAGGAGUGGUUUUGACCAAUGAAAUGGAGGCACUUUCAUUGUCAUUGUCACGAUUUCAGGUUCUAUGUCACUCUCUUUCCAAAGUGCUUUUCAAACUUUCGCUCACGCUACUUGUUCGCUAUCGGUCUUCCUA